GGUGCACCCAACACAAAAAGGACUUCAUAACAACAUUAAUAACAAGGACAAGAUUGACAUGGAAACUUCAACAAGUAACAGCAAGGAUGAUAGAAAUAUGAUCCCACAAAAACAUAGCAGAAUAAGUAUACCACGUGGCCCAACUACAAUGUCUGAGUUGGCACAAAUAAGGACAUCUGGGCAACGAUUAACCAUCGAUUAUAAUGAACAUGGAAAACCGGUUGGAUCUGGAGCAAAGAAGAUGCAGAGUUAUAUAGAAGUUUGUGAUCGACAACAAAUUCCUAUAAUAUGUCAUUCAAUGUGGACUCUAAGUUCAAACAUUAUAUACUAAUGUCUGCAUCUAGGAAGUUUCAGACUUUCAAGACAACGUUGACUCAAAAGUUCAUACUUUCAUUUAAGGAUGAACCCUCGGUCUUGCAAUUUCCACCCCAACAAUAUUCUCAUAUAGAGCAAGAUCAUUGGAAAUCGUUCGUCAAUGAACGAUUGACUGAAGAA